AAAUGGGUUAUUUUUUUAAUAUAUUAUGAACCGAGGAAGUUCGUGUUGCUGUUGUGUGACAUCAAUUAUUGUAUCAUCAUUAAUUUUUUGCUUGUCACUAAUAUUCUAUUUUAUUGGAUAUAUAAUAAAGACAAAUUCUAUAAAAGCCUCCAUAUAGCAACAUCAUUGUCAUAUAGCAACACCAUUGUCAUAUAGCAACAGCAUCGUCAUAUAGCAAGAUCAUUAGUCGUCUGUAAAUAAAGCUUCAAACAUGUUGCAACAAAUACUGAAAGAUAUGUAUAUUGAUCCAGAACUUCUUGAAGAGUUGUCAGAGGAACAAAAACAGAUUUUGUUUCAUAAAAUGAGGGAGGAGCAAAUACGCAGAUAUAAGGAGCUAGAAAUUAAAUUAGAGGAGGAGGAAAAAACCAAACCUUUGCAAAAAAAAAAAAGCAACAAAAAAGUUACUUUUCUAUGUGAAGGUGAUAAGAUUAUUGUAGAGUAUAUCCAAGAUGUUGAUCCUAUAG
rnacentral:lncRNA from 1 species